rnacentral:rRNA from 1 species
AUUGAACGCUGGCGGCAGGCCUAACACAUGCAAGUCGAACGGAGUGGCGGACGGGUGAGUACUGCGUGGGUAACCUGCCCUCCUUUUUGGAAUAAGCCUUGGAAACGGGGUCUACUACCGAAUAAAGGGGGCUGGGCUCGCGGCCUAUCAGCUGGUGGGUGGGGUGAUGGCCUACCAAGGCGGUGACGGGUAGCCGGCCUGAGAGGGGGCCCGGCCACAGUGUGACGGCGAUACGGCCCAGACGCCGACGGGGUGCAGCAGUUGGGGUUAUUGCACAAAGGGCGAUCGCCUGAUGCAGCGACUGCGAGUGGGGGAUGAGGGCUUUCGGGUUGUAAACCUCUUUCGGUAUCGGUCGGGUAGGUGGAGAAGAAGCGCCGGCUAACUACGUGCCAGCAGCCGCGGUAAUAC